UGAGCAAUCUGCCCUUCUCUUCGGAAUAAGCGUUGGAAACGACGUCUAAUGCCGAAUACGACCUCCUUUCACAUGAUCGGAGGUGGAAAGCUCCGGCGGAGAAGGAUGAGCUCGCGGCCUAUCAGCUAGUUGGUGUGGGUAAUAGCCCACCAAGGCGACGACGGGUAGCCGGCCUGAGGAGGGGCGACCCGGCCACACGUGGGACUGAGACACGGCCCAGACUCCGUACGGGAGNACGCG
rnacentral:rRNA from 1 species